rnacentral:rRNA from 1 species
AGUGAACGCUGGCGGUAGGCCUAACACAUGCGAGUCGAACGGCAGCACAGUAAGAGCGUGCUCUUACGGGGGGCGAGGGGCGGACGGGUGAGGAAUACAUCGGAAUCUACUUUUUCGUGGGUGAUGACGAAGGGAAACUUACGCUAAUACCGCAUACGACCUACGGGUGAAAGCAGGGGAGUUUCGGAGCUUGCGCGAGUGAAUGAGCCGAUGCCGGAUUGGCUAGGUGGCGGGGUAAAGGCCGACCAGGGCGACGAUCCGUAGCUGGUGUGUGAGCAUGAUGCGCCACACUGGAGCUGAGCCACGGUCCUGACUCCUACGGGAGGCACCAGUGGCGACUAUUGGACACAGGGCGGAAGCCUGCUCCAGCCGUACCGCGUUGGUGAAGCAGGCCCUCGGGUUGUAAAGCCCUUUUGGUGGGAAAGAACAGCAGCAGGUUAAUCCCCCGCUGUUCUGACGGUACCCAAUGAAUAAGCACCGGCUAACUUCGUG